GACGAACGCUGGCGGCAUGCCUAACACAUGCAAGUCGAACGAAAACUCCCUGUUUUGUUGCGCACCUGUGGUUAACAACUGGGAAGCUUCCCUUGAGUUCCGUAUCCCUCCCUGUAAGGGAUGCUCAUACCGGAUAAUUUCUUCCGACAAAAGAUGUCUCGCCUUUGGAUGGGGCCGCGUUGGAUUAGCUAGUUGGUAGGGUAAAAGCCUACCAAGGGGACGAUCCAUAGCUGGUCUGAGAGGAUGAUCAGCCACACUGGGACUGAGACACGGCCCAGACUCCUACGGGAGGCAGCAGUGGGGAAUAUUGGACAAUGGGCGAAAGCCUGAUCCAGCAAUGCCGCGUGAGUGAUGAAGGCCUUAGGGUUGUAAAGCUCUUUUACCCGGGAUGAUAAUGACAGUACCGGGAGAAUAAGCUCCGGCUAACUCCGUG
rnacentral:rRNA from 1 species